rnacentral:rRNA from 1 species
AUGUUCGUAAAUGGCUCAGAAUGGUCUAAAGAUAAGAAUUAUUGGACUAUAGGAGAUGGGUUCACUUCACUCGUUUCUAUAACUAUUGUUUUUUCACUAAUGACUACUGUCCCAGAUACGUCGUGGUAUGGAAUUCUUUGGACUACAAGAUCAAACCAAAUAGUAGAACAGGGUCUCAUAAAUAAUGUUCAACAAAUUGGAAUUCAUUUAGCAACCGAUUUUUAUCUUCCGUUUGAACUCAUUUCCAUAAUUCUUCUAGUUUCUUUAAUAGGUGCAAUUACUACGGCUCGGCAAUAA